CCUGGAGCAGGAUGUUUCCUCUUUUCAGAGUCCCUGUCAAGCCACUUAUGGAUGGAUUUGCAUUUUGCUUGGGAAAUGACUGAACCAGGCCAGUUUUUGCAUCUCCACUUCCCCUGGGAGGGGCAGCAAGCCCUAUAAAAAGGCCCUCUGCUGCACCACCACCAUCCUCCUGCUACUCAAGCUCCGAUUGAUUUUGGAGAACUGAUUCUAAGACUCCAGAAAGAUGUCUUAUCAGCAGCAGCAGUGCAAGCAGCCCUGCCAGCCACCUCCAGUAGUGUGCCCUCCCAAGUGCCCUGAGCCCUGCCCACCUCCAAAGUGCCCUGAGCCCUGCCCACCUCCAAAGUGUCCCGAGCCUUGCCCACCUCCAAAGUGCCAGCAGAAAUGCCCUCCUGUGCCAACUCCCCAACAAUGCCAAGAGAAGUGCCCACCCAAGUGCAAGUAACAGCAUCAGCUUUUAUCUGGAUCAGGAAAGGAUGAGGACAACUGACUCACCUAGCUCCACAGCUCCACCUUCAUCUUCUCUUUAAAGCCUAUCAUGGAUACAGAAGAAGCUUCUCCACCCUUCAGCCGGCAGUAUGCCUGUGGUGAUUCCUGUCAGCCAGAGGUUUCUUUCCUGAGGCUGCUGUUCUGCUCUCCUCUGGAAGGAGAGCUGAGAAAGCAUCCCAGAGCUUCACAUGGAACAGCAGCAACUUUUUUCCCGGGCACCAUCAGAGGAUUCUCUCCCUCUCUUGGGUCUGUCUGUCACCUGGGCAGGGGUUUCUACCAGCUGGUCAACUGUUGCUUAUCCUCCUUUACUCAAAUAAACUAGAGUACCUUUGUGUGCUGUAAAAAAUG